rnacentral:rRNA from 1 species
AGUGAACGCUGGCGGUAGGCCUAACACAUGCAAGUCGAACGGCAGCACAGUAAGAGCUUGCUCUUACGGGUGGCGAGUGGCGGACGGGUGAGGAAUACAUCGGAAUCUACUUUUUCGUGGGGGAUAACGUAGGGAAACUUACGCUAAUACCGCAUACGACCUACGGGUGAAAGCAGGGGAUCUUCGGACCUUGCGCGAUUGAAUGAGCCGAUGUCGGAUUAGCUAGUUGGCGGGGUAAAGGCCCACCAAGGCGACGAUCCGUAGCUGGUCUGAGAGGAUGAUCGGCCACACUGGAACUGAGACACGGUCCAGACUCCUACGGGAGGCAGCAGUGGGGAAUAUGCGACAAUGGGCGAAAGCCUGAUGCAGCAAUACCGCGUGAGUGAAGAAGGCCUUCGGAUUGUAAAGCCCUGUUGUUGGGAAAGAAAAGCAGCAGGAUAAUACCCCGCUGUUCUGACGGUACCCAAAGAAUAAGCAACGGCUAACUACGUG